rnacentral:rRNA from 1 species
AUUGAACGCUGGCGGCAGGCUUAACACAUGCAAGUCGAGCGGAGAUGAGGUGCUUGCACCUUAUCUUAGCGGCGGACGGGUGAGUAAUGCUUAGGAAUCUGCCUAUUAGUGGGGGACAACAUUCCGAAAGGAAUGCUAAUACCGCAUACGUCCUACGGGAGAAAGCAGGGGGUCUUCGGACCUUGCGCUAAUAGAUGAGCCUAAGUCGGAUUAGCUAGUUGGUGGGGUAAAGGCCUACCAAAGCGACGAUCUGUAGCGGGUCUGAGAGGAUGAUCCGCCACACUGGGACUGAGACACGGCCCAGAUUCCUACGGGAGGUAGCAGUGGGGAAUAUUGGACAAUGGGGGGAACCCUGAUCCUGCCAUGCCGCGUGUGUGAAGAAGGCCUUAUGGUUGUAAAGCACUUUAAGCGAGGAGGAGGCUACUGAGACUAAUACUCUUGGAUAGUGGACGUUACUCGCAGAAUAAGCACCGGCUAACUCUGUGCCAGCAGCCGCCGUAACAC